rnacentral:misc_RNA from 1 species
UUCUGCUAGGGAUAGUAAUGGAAAGCCCGUAAAGUUGAAAGCCAAAUAAAACAAAGAUUAGUGAAGCGACCGUUAGGAAGCUUUGACUAAGACUAUGUUUUAUAGGAUUGCAACUGCGGACUUGAAAUGGAUAGCCCGCCCGAGC